GGCCAGAGUGGUAUAGUGGUUUGAGUGUUUAACUGCAAAUGUGGAAACCAGGGUUUGAUUCCCAGCUCGGCCA